rnacentral:lncRNA from 1 species
CCUAACAGCCUAACUCCCUCCCUAACUCAGCACGCAGCAGCCACCCCACCCCAAUCUAUCAUCUCUCUCUCGGUUGCCGGCGACCGGCGACACGCACUCCGGCGCGACGGCACACUCCGACACGACGGCGGCUCAUCUUUCCAGCGAAGAUCCGACGAUCUUAACAGCAGCAGCAGUGCAGCACGGUCCGGCGCGACAUUAGCAUCAUCUGCCACCACCGGUCACCGGGCACCGGCUGCUUCCCAGCUCGGCGCGACAACAGCAGCGACACCAACGACUCUCCACUCCUCGGCGCGACAGCAGCAGUGCAGCACGAUCUGCCAUUUAAGGUUCUAUUUUCUCUUAAAUCUUGUUGAAAUCUUGCUGAAAUCUUGUUGUCUAUGAAAUAUUGCAUAAAAGUCUUGCUGGGUAAUUGUUCUUGAUUUUGAGUGCUGACUGCUGCGUGAAAUUCUUUGCGGGUUUGAUCCCUAAUUUUUGUGGGUUGUUUAUUUUUUUUCAAUCAUGAAAAGCAAGGUUUGAAAAAUUUCCCCCUUUUGUUUUGCUGCUUCAUUCGAGGAAACCCCUAAAUUCUUGUUGGGUUUGGGGUUGAGUUGGGUUUAGCUGAGAAUGGAGCUGUAAAUUUCGAACAAGUUGAUAGGAACAUGAACCUUUUUGCUAAUGUAGUCCCUGAUGAUCUUGAUGGCUCAAGUUUUGGUGGUGUUGAGGGCUCCAAUAUAUGGGAUUACUACCUAAAUUUUGAUAUGUUUUUAAGGUAAGAUUCUUCUAAUUGUGGUCUGCAAAGACAAAAAAAAAAAAAAUAGAUCAUGAUUUGUGUGGUAGCAUUUCACAAGUAUAUAUGAUCAUAUAAGUAUGCAUCAGAAAUGAAAUUUGGUAAUUAGCAAGAUAACUUAUAAAAGGAGAGAAUAGCAAACACCAUCUGCACUAUACCAACUGAGAGCAGAACAGCAGCUGUCUAUAACCUCAUAAACUCUAGCAUCCCCACCUAAACAGUUGCUUAUCACCCCAUAGUGUCGCAGCAGCUCUGCAUCCUCGGAGUUGCACAUUAGGCAUUUAAGGAAGAACGCGUAGUCACUAAUGCACUUGGGCUUAUUUCUUGGGAGAUAGAAUUCAUAUGCAAUCAUGUUUCUGAGCCACGACUCCUUUUCAUCUGUCAUUUCUAGAGCAAGGUUUAUCUUUAGAUCUCAAAGGUUUAUCUUUAAAUUCUGACUUAGAAUGUUCUCUUUUUUUUUUUUUCCAGUUAUUUGCUUUGUUUUUGUUUCAUGUAUCUGGAAGGGGUCUUCUUCAUAUGCCUUGUUAUUUGUUAAUUGAUGUUCUUUAUAUUUUUUUUGUAUGCAGCCCUUAACACGGUGUUCGACUGUUGGUAUUGGAGAGACGACUUCAUGUUGUAGGCUUGUGGCACUAUCUAUAAGAAGAAGCUGCAAAUUUAUGUUUUUAUGUUG